rnacentral:rRNA from 1 species
UCUUGACGUUAGCAACAGAAGAAGCACCGGCUAACUCCGUGCCAGCAGCCGCGGUAAUACGGAGGGUGCGAGCGUUAAUCGGAAUUACUGGGCGUAAAGCGCAUGCAGGUGGUUCAUUAAGUCAGAUGUGAAAGCCCGGGGCUCAACCUCGGAACUGCAUUUGAAACUGGUGAACUAGAGUGCUGUAGAGGGGGGUAGAAUUUCAGGUGUAGCGGUGAAAUGCGUAGAGAUCUGAAGGAAUACCAGUGGCGAAGGCGGCCCCCUGGACAGACACUGACACUCAGAUGCGAAAGCGUGGGGAGCAAACAGGAUUAGAUAC